rnacentral:rRNA from 1 species
GAGAGUUUGAUUCUGGCUCAGGACGAACGCUGGCGGCGCGCCUAACACAUGCAAGUCGAACGGAGCUGAGAGGAGCUUGCUUUUCUUAGCUUAGUGGCGAACGGGUGAGUAACGCGUGAGUAACCUGCCCUGGAGUGGGGGACAACAGUUGGAAACGACUGCUAAUACCGCAUAAGCCCACGAAUCCGCAUGGAUCUGCGGGAAAAGGAUUUAUUCGCUCUAGGAUGGACUCGCGUCCAAUUAGCUAGUUGGUGAGGUAACGGCCCACCAAGGCGACGAUUGGUAGCCGGACUGAGAGGUUGAACGGCCACAUUGGGACUGAGACACGGCCCAGACUCCUACGGGAGGCAGCAGUGGGGGAUAUUGCACAAUGGGGGAAACCCUGAUGCAGCGACGCCGCGUGGAGGAAGAAGGUUUUCGGAUUGUAAACUCCUGUCGUUAGGGACGAUAAUGACGGUACCUAACAAGAAAGCACCGGCUAA